rnacentral:lncRNA from 1 species
UCUGUCUCAAAAAAAAAAAAAAAACACACACACAAAAAAACAUGAAUUGUUUUUCUCUUAAGGGCCUCAAAUAUCUACAGCCUUGAGGUUCCAUAUUUUCAAAUUGGAAGUGCGUGACAAGCCAGGAGGCAUAGUGUGAAUUUCUAACUUAGUACUAGAGUUUCGAGGUAUUCUUAUCCUUAGGAAAAUAAGUUUUGUUCAAACUAAAAUACAGUCAAGGACUUGUUUUCUUUAGACUAGAUCAAUUGACAAACAACCUGGCCCUUUUCCUCUCGGCAUGUGAAUCAUACAACUUGUUAAAGAGGAGUAUUGGGUUUUAUUCGGAGAAAGGAGGAGAGGAGAGUAGAAUUGGGUAGAAGGUUCAAUUUGUCUGAACUUGGUUGGCCUCACCCUUCACUGCUUGUUAACUACAUGAAAUCAUGAUUUAGCCAUGUCUAAUGUAAUUUGAUUGCUGGGAGGAUGCAAAUUUUCAUGUUUGCUUUUCACCUGAAUGUAUCAAAUUUCACUAUGCUUUAACCUCAGCCACUAAGAAGCUAUUACUAGAGCGUGUUUAAACAAGCUUACUUCUGCCGUCAUGUUAUCUGUCCAGAAUUCAGAGUGGCAAACCAUACUUGUACAGGCAGAAAACUACCUGGCACUGUGGGAGACUGAGUAUAGGAGAAAGCAGGAUGACGAUGGGCCUGAAUGGUGGUGUGUUUUCCUCCACACAAUGUGGCUUUGUCCUCCAAGGUGUCUCACGUGAUGGAAGCUGGCUGAUCUGACUUGCUUGCAGAUGUCUGUAACAGCAUUAGCAGCUUCCAAUUGUCAGGAGCUCGCUGCUUGCCAGGCACGCUGUCGGGCACACUGAAAUGUUGUGGGAUGGCGCUGGGAUCAGCCCUAGAACCAUGAGACCUACUUUCACAGAAAGGACACUCAUUCAGAGCAGGGCAAGGAAGUCACUGUCACCGAGACCAACACUGCUCCUGGCCCAUGCCAGUCAGUGGCUGAUGGACGAAGCUGCACUGUGGGACAGUGAAAUGCGACGUUUGUUGAUCCUGUCAGGAACAUCGUCUGUGCGGGAGGCUUCUGAGGACAGCAGCCAGAAAUCUGUUUUGUUUUUGUUUUCACAGUUACAUAUUUUUUUUUCUUCCAUGCUUAGCUGAUGCUGAAUCAAUUCGACUGUUCCUUUUGUAAGAGUCCACAAACCUUAACAAUAAUAGACAGUCAUUUGUCAUCUGGCAAGAUGAGAUUGAGAAGAUUCUCAGUGAGAAACUGAAUUUACCCAACUGAAAUGUUCACUUAAAGUUUUUUUCCUCUAAAACCUGGACUACUCAUCUGUGGAUGACUUCUACUCAUGUAAUUUUUUUUCUCAAAUUGGAUACUUAAAUGAUUCUAUGUAUUUAGUAAUCGCAAAAAGUCAGUUUUAUGGAUACAGUUUUCUCUGAACAGUUUUGGUAUAGACAAAAAGAGGUGUUACCAUCCACCCGGCGUGCAUUAUAAUUCUGUCCUUGCCUAAUCCCCACCCAAAUGCCCAUUUCCAUCUACACGAACUCAUUCUUUCUGAAUCAUAAAUGCCACACCCUCAGUUGCACAUAAAACUUUGCCAUAUUAUGUAUACAUCAGUGUGUACGAAGACAAGUUGUGGCUUAGAAGCAGUCCAUUUACAGUUUCUGGAACUGUUUAUCAUCUCACUUCUCCAUAACUGAUUCUAGGUCUGAAAGGUUUCCUUCUAAAAUUUGAUAGCCUGAUUUUGAGGAUAUGUUUUCAAUGCCUUUUCUGGUUACAAAUCCUGAUGUUGGCAGGUCUUUUUCCUGUAAGCAUGAAGACCAACCAAGACAAGGUACACUGUGCUGUUAAUCAAAGUGGCACAGAACAACUAUGUGACAGGUCAUAGCCAGGAGUGUAAUGUAACAUGGAUAUGGAGGGCCACAAAGAGUCCCAUAGCCCUCCUGCUACACAUCUGAAAAUCUCCUGAAAUUCAGAAUAAACCCAUUACUGAAAAACAAAAGUGUU